UACGUAGGUGGCGAGCGUUGUCCGGAUUUACUGGGUGUAAAGGGCGCGUAGGCGGGUUCUUAAGUCCGGUGUGAAAUACCUCGGCUCAACCGGGGGGGUGCACUGGAAACUGGGGAUCUUGAGUGCUGGAGAGGGAAGCGGAAUUCCUAGUGUAGCGGUGAAAUGCGUAGAUAUUAGGAGGAACACCAGUGGCGAAGGCGGCUUUCUGGACAGUAACUGACGCUGAGGCGCGAAAGCGUGGGGAGCAAACAGG
rnacentral:rRNA from 1 species